CACAUACUCACGUAAUGAUCCAGUGAGAUACUGCACGUACAGCACUAGAGGAUCAGAUGAUCAGAUUGAUCAGAUGUGACACUGCUCACUCUGCUAGCCAGUCCACUCUUUUGCCGGUUCAGAAAUGGUGCACCAUCUAUUGUAAUCCCAGUUAUUUUCUCCAAGAGGAGUAAGGAAGGAUAAUGGAGCUGCAGCCAUGGAGCCAGCACGAACCCGACUCACCGUUUCACUGCACAAAAAGCCAAGCACCACCCAGGGAAAAGGGCAAUCACUACAAGAGCAGUUUCCCAGGGGUCACAAAAGUGGUUAAACAGGCGCCCCUGACAGAAGACCCAGGACCACCAUGGCCUAAAGAGGAGACAAGGGGAAUACCUCCACCCCACAUCCCUGACCAAUCCACCUGCCAACCCACCCACAACCCAGACAAAGGGAGAGGGGUUGGUGUUUUAAGGGGGGAGUUGGCCAAUUGUGGCCAUGUGUGCAUUGCAUAAGGAGGGAGGUAUGUGGCAGGGCAGAAGCCCUGCUGGUUUAAAUAGUUUGUGGGGGAAUAUAAGGUUGGCAGGUUAAAUUUGUCCCUGCCAGUAAUCACAGGUGUGACCAUUCCCCAGGUAUAUCAUUGAGUGCUAACUGGAGAGUGGCCACAUGUAUAAAA